rnacentral:rRNA from 1 species
GUCUACAACCAUGCUACCUGGAACAAGCCUGAUCCUGUCUGAUCUCGGAAGCUAAGCGGGGCCAGGCCUGGUUAGUACUUGGAUGGGAGACUACCACAGGAAGACCAGGUGCCAUAGGCA